UACGAAGGGGGCUAGCGUUGUUCGGAAUUACUGGGCGUAAAGCGCGUGUAGGCGGGCCGUUAAGUCGGGGGUGAAAGCCCAGAGGUCAACUCUGGCACUGCCUUCGAUACUGGCGGCGUGGAGCAUGAUAAAGGCGAGUGGAAUUGCGAGUGUAGAGGUGAAAUUCGUAGAUAUUCGCAGGAACACCAGUGGCGAAGGCGACUCGCUGGAUCAUUGCUGACGCUGAGACGCGAAAGCGUGGGGAGCAAACAGG
rnacentral:rRNA from 1 species